rnacentral:lncRNA from 1 species
ACAUUAUCAGAAGGGGCAGGGGUGCGUGUCUGCACUCCCAGUCACGGAGGGAAGGCCAAGGGCUUCCUUACCCUCCCGCCCAUCCCCCUCCCCCAGGAUCCCAGGGCUGGAUCUUCAGCCAGUGCUCUGGGGCACCCACAACUUCGAUCACUUUGGAUCUUUGUAAGGCUCUGCUGAGUGGGCCUAUGAAGACCCAGCUCCCCUGACAGGUAGAAGGCUCAGUGAAUGAGGGCUCCUCCCUCCUUCAGCCUGGAGUGGGACCAGGGACCAGGAUCCAUCAGAGCCUGUCCAAACCCACAAUACUAGAUUCUGGCUGGUUGCCAACCUAAUGCCUCAGUUCCAGAAUUUGCCAGAACGGAUUUGGUUUGGAGCAUGAGUGCAUCAGUGCAAUGCAAGGUGUGGACUAUGGUUGACAGUGCUGAUGGCCCACCCCCUCAGCCCACUGCAGCUGCAGUUCCUGCACACUGAGAGGGUCACAGCUUCCCAUCUCAAUGCCUGCAUCCUCUGUUCCCCUGUGCUUCCCAUGACACACAUGGUGACACCAGAAGUGCAGGUGAAUUCACCUACCGAGUCAGUAGAGAUGGUAA